rnacentral:rRNA from 1 species
UACGAAGGGGGCUAGCGUUGUUCGGAAUCACUGGGCGUAAAGCGCACGUAGGCGGAUUGUUAAGUCGGGGGUGAAAUCCUGAGGCUCAACCUCAGGACUGCCUUCGAUACUGGCAAUCUCGAGUCCGGAAGAGGUUGGUGGAACAGCUAGUGUAGAGGUGAAAUUCGUAGAUAUUAGCUAGAACACCAGUGGCGAAGGCGGCCAACUGGUCCGGUACUGACGCUGAGGUGCGAAAGCGUGGGGAGCAAACAGG